ensembl:lncRNA
CUCCUGCCUGCAAAUAUGGCAUCAGGAAACAUAAACACCUACAAGAUAAAAGCAAAACCUAAUCCUAGAAAAACAAGCCUGACUAUUUACUCACCCAGAUCUAACUCUGGACUAGACCCAUGCAACUCACACCAGAGCCUACCAGCAGCUACUGCUGGUCAUGCUGCUAUGAGAACUGCCUUCACAGAGAGCCUAAAAAUCAGGCAGGAAAUCAGAUACAAAGAAGAACAUGGGGUAACAAGACAGUGACACUUUCCUGUAAGAAGACCAUAAAUCUUUAUACAAGGGGGCGGACUGGAGAACGUCAGGGGUUUCCAUGUGUGAGUGUUUAAAAUAAAACCUUAUUCAUGCUGGAGUGGGGAAGAAAAGAACUGGCAAGCUGGGAACACAAAAAGAAAAAAGGAGGAACCUUAAAAUAUGAGGUUUGACUGGGUCUUGAGCUCUGAAGCAAUCAGUGUUUUUUUCUGUUCUUUUUGUUCCCUCAUCAACUGGACCAGAACACUAUAUCUCUAGGAAGAGUCUGCUCAGUUGCUUGAAGCAUGUACAUCCGUGUAGCCAAGGGAGAAACUGACCAAUAGCCUCAAUGGUGAUUAGAAGACAAUUGGUCCCUCGAACUUGUCUUCCAAAGUGAGAGCACCUGGCAGCUUCUGGCAGCUUUCUGUUCCUUCUCUGAAACAAUACAUGCCAUGAUGGUGGGAAAACGGGAUUCCAGCACAGCACUUCUCAGAAAUAACAACAUGAUUGUGACUUCUUUAGUUCAAAGGUCUGAAGCAAUAUGGAAAAGAUGACCUACAUAAUGACCAAACCAAAACUUUGUCACUCUACAGUGGUUCCUCAAAUCCUGCUUUGACAUCAAGCAGCUUCAAUGCAGGUACCAAGAAGGGAGCAGAGAGGAAAGGAUAAUUGGGUCCGUGCUCCCAUUUGAAAGGGAGCUUAUGUUUUCCUGCAACUUUGAUGGAGAUUAAAUAUGUCUUGGCUACUUGGCUCUGACCACAUGAAAUACAGCAUCUAGAGAGACUUUGUGAGCAAGGGCUUGACAGGCAGACAUUUAAGAUCGUUGGUCAUCUUUGCAUCUUUUAAAGUAGAAGCGAUAUCUCAGUAAGGGAUGAUUUUACACUAUUAAAAAAAAUAAUAAAAAAAAAAGGAAAGAAAAGAAAAGAAAAGAAAAGAAAAGAAAAGAAAAGAAAAGAAAAGAAAAGAAAAGAAAAGAAAAGAAAAGAAAAGAAAAGAAAAGAAAAGAAAAGAAAAGAAAAGAAAAGAAAAGAAAAGAAAAGAAAAGAAAAGAAAGAAGAGUUAUAACAGAAGUAAAAGAUACAGCCCCAAGCCCUGAAUCAUCAGGAAAACCAAACAAACUAGACUUUCACUGUUUGUGGUCACUGCUGAACACUUACAGUACAGUGUAGGAAAUGGACCACUCUCUAAUAUAAUGUGUUGCCCCAAGACACAGAAUGCUGCUAAAUAUCCUGGACAUUCUUUCUCACUCUGAGCUCUCUACGGUCUCUAUUAAGGCAAGCUCAUUCUGUGGAGAAUGAGAUAUUUUUCCAUGAACCACCUCUCUUCUCUAAAGGAUCUUCUCAGGGCAACUGCUAAAUUGUCCUGCGAGGCUGAAUAUGCUCUGAUGUCAGAGCAUACCAGCUGAAGUGUUCAGCAACGUAAAAUAAGCUGGAGAUGCUAUACAAGAAGAGUAUGUUGGUACUAAUUUUUUCCAAGUAAACCCAUUCAGGAUAAAAAUAACUUCCUUUUCUCUCUCUCUCUCUCUUUUUUUUUUUUUAAUAAUGUCAUAUUGCAUCAGCAGACUUACACAACACGUUAAAAAUCCCAGAGAAACAAUAUAUCAUACAUGAAGAGCUUCCUACCUAUUAGAUUCAUGCAGCAAAUGAAAUUCUAUGCAACUUCUUCCAGGAAAAUAGCUUGCGUACUCUGAAGCUAUAUCUAGGAUUUUUACAAACUGUUCUGCAUGAUUCACUCAGUGCUCGGUAGAUUAGAUGUUAUUGAAUUCACAUGAGUUCAUGUUAAAUAAAGUGAAACACAACAUCUGGGGCUACUCAUCACUCAAAGAUAUGACAUCCAUUGCCAAACACAAGAGUGAUUCAGUAAUGUUGUAAUUACCAAACUGGGUCAGUGGUGAAAUAGAAAGUGGGGAUUGUUAUAACACCAAGUCCUUAGAUUAUCUGUGAUCAGAAGAAACAAACAAUCAGAGUUUGUGAUAUAUGGCAAGCACCAAUGAUCCCGGACUGUGCACAAGACUGGCAUUUCAUCCUGUAAAAUUUAAUUGUACAGAAAAAUGUAAGAUGGAACAGCCUUGUCCUACCUGUUACAGUGGACUGAAUGGCCUAUGCUGAAAGUGCCACUGAAAUUCAACACACAUUGGGGAGACAAAGGAAACUGUGAGCACUAUAUCUGCUUCUUAUUUCUGACUCUAGUUUAAACUUCCAGUGAGUUCUUCCCAAAUGGCUGUUCAGAACUCUGUGUCUGUUCUGUGUUUUGCCAGGGCCAGGCAAAGGAACAGAAGCAAAGGAAAUGAACUAAAAAAAAACAAACAAGUAAAAAGCAAUCAUAUGUCAACUAAGACCCAGAAUAUGAGAUCAGUGCUUACUAAGCACAACUAGAACAAAGUAGAUAUCACACUAAGGGACAUGAUUUAGUGGACAUGGUGGCAAUAGGUUGAUGGUUGGACUGGAUGAUCUUAGUGGUCUUUCCAACCUCAAUGAUUCUGGCAUUCUAUGGAAAGUUGGGAGACUGCAGAUCCAGAUAAUUCAAGGCUGUGUUAUUCAUGGUAUGAUAGCCUGCACGUCAAAGGUCAAUCUCAAGCCUAUGCACCAUGCAAGCUAGAAAUGCUGAUGUGCAUGAAGAGGAGACAGGGCUAUGUGACUAACGUGGUUUGGCUUAUUUAGACUUUCCUAGCCUGCAGGACCAGAAGCAGUUGGGGAGAAGAGAGUGGCCUUUGGCACGCAUCUACUACCAGGCUCAAACUCAGAGUUUCCAUUCCAUAGGAAAACACCUCCACUGCUCAGUGCCCCACCCCCGGCAUGUGCAUACUCAUUCUUUGUUUUGAUAAGCAAAUCAAUGAGUGCUUUAAUGUACUAUACCUGGGGGAAUUUAACUCAGAAUUCUGUGCUCAGGUUCCAAGAGGAUGUAGUUAUUUUUUACACCAGUAAUUUGUGUUUUGUUCCUUUUCCAAAUAGGACAAAAAAAGUUAGAGGGUGGUUUUUUCCCUGGUUUCACUCCUAAAUCGCCAUUUAUACCCUGACAUCAGCUGACAUCAGUGGAAAUGUCAAAAAAUCUUCCUUUUGCAAGAUUUCAGAAACAAUGCAGAUAUAGAGAAAAUAAAAAUAAGGAGGGAGGAGGGCGGAUGCCCCGGCGGUCUCUCGGCGGGGACAUGCUGCCAUCCAGCGGCUGCGGCCACGCGGCCCCGAGGAUGGGGAUGUCCCGGAGCACCGCGCCCCGCGCUGCCCCCUGGGGGCGGAGGAUGCUUCGAGGAGUGGUGUUGGGGUCCGACGCCCCCGGCUGAUCCAGCCCCCCUGCCCCACUGCUCUUGUAGCCCUUCAGCAAAAAUGUUCAUGGAAGAGAGAGGUGAGCACGCCCUUUCUACUUUGAAUCUCUUUUUUUUCUAUUUUCUUCUCCACCACUGGAUGGACAAACAUUUGAUUUUAAAGAUUAAGAAUUUAUAAAGCUUUCUAAGUGAUGACACCUGCAGUACCCUGCUUCAUCUUUUCUGAAUUGCUGAGUCCUCCUUAAAUUAGUGAGAGUUUAGCAGCAGUGGAGGUCACAUCCAAGGCAAGUUUGUAUAUUUAAGUGAAAUCCCUGGGAAUCCACAGACAGGAACGGGUUGCCCAGAAUGUUUCUGGAGAUUCCCUUCUUUGAAGAUCUUCAAGGCCACCUGAAUGUGAUCCUGGGCACCCAGCUCUGGGUAUCUGAGCAGGAACAGGAACUUCUGAAUGGACCAGAUGGACCCAGAGGUCCCUGCCAACCUCAGCCAUUCUGGCAUUCUCUGAAUAUUCAUAGAAUCAUAGAAUUAAAUGUUGGAGUUGGAAGGGGCCCUAAGAGGCCAUCUAAUCUAACUCCCCUGCAAUGAACUGGGGCACCUACAGCUAGAGCAGGUUGCUCCGAGCCCUAUCCAGCCUGACCUUGAAUAUCUCCAGGGACAAAACAUCCACCACAUCAUCUGCAACCACUCUCUUCUUUAUGUGUCUCAUGCACAAUGGAGGUCACUAAACAGGACAAACUUGCCAGUACUUGACACCAUGCUAUUAUAUACAUCCCACUAACUGAGAUGAUGUUAUCAGCUCAGGUAUUCCUGCCCCAUCCUGCCCUCUCCCCCUCAGUCCAGCACUUCAUCCCUCCCCGUCUUCACUUUGCCCCUUAGAUGUAUCUAUCUGUUUUAUUUUUAUACAAGUUUCUUUCCUGAACAGAGAUUGCCAGAUAAUUGUACUACAAGCAGUGCAAGCAUGAACUAAGAAAUGAGUAUCAAAAAUCAGACCAUAUUCCAGGACAUACUGUGUCAGGCUAUCUAAGAUUGGCUUACACAGAAGCUCUCAGUGAGCUAUAGGAUGGUGUCCUACAAUGGAUGUCCUAAGUACAACCUUCAAAAUGGAAGACAUAGGGCAGUUCAGCAUCCGGAGCUACCUCCAGCUUUGUGACCCAACUUGCUGUCCAAAUGUGUGAGGCAUAGGAAGAAAUGCCCUACUUCUCAGAAUACCUGAGCUGUUGCCUCACCUGUGAAAAACGUCAAAUGAAUCAUGUGUCACAUCCAGCACAAGAGGUCAAGAUAGUCUUUUGUGACGCAAUGGAUGUCUACUUUGCCUGUAAUUGUAUGUACACAUGAAAACACCCACUCUUGAUGAGCCAAGACCUCAAACAAAGCACAAAAUUUGAGUAACUGACGUCAGGGAUGUUGUUUGACUAAUGAAUGAAGGAAAGAUCUAAUUUUCCCCACCUUUGAGCUCUGAAUGCUUUGUUUACUAUCAGGAUUAAACCUGGAGAAAGUGACAAACCAUUGCUACAAACUCCAGCUGAUGAUACCCCAGAGAUGCCAGUUGUUCUCAUCCACAUUUGGGCAUGUAUGUGUAGCUUAUGGAUGAACAUGGGGCAUUCCUCACCAAGACAAACUUAAAAACUGAAACCCAGACAAACCAGUCAACCAAGUAAUAAACUCAGUGCAACAUGAAGGGAAGGAAGGGACUUGAGGGGGAAGAGGAGAGGAUAGCACAAGGGCAUGUGGGGCCACCAUUUGCACUGUGGAGCCUGCUGGUAUUUCAUGGAGUGGAAUUUACCAGAGGCGAGGUAUAGUCAUUCCAAAUUCCAGAUGGGUAUCACAUAGCUGUAUGCAAGAGGAAUGCUUCACAGAGAAGGAAAUUGUACCUUAUUUUUCAAACCCUCCAGCAGGAAAGAACCUUGACUGCCUCCUCUGAAGGACUCAGUUGUCCAGUCACUUGGUUUCUCUGUGUUAAAGGACUCGUUGAGCUGUAGGCUGAGAUGAUCUUUUUCUUUUGCAUUUUCCUUUGCUUGGUGAAGAGAGACUUCACAGCAUAGGAUUAAGGACUAACAGGAGCUUCAAAAUACAGUGCAGAUUUAUAGAGAGUUUUUAGUUAAGUGGAGCUUUAGUUUGUCCUUUCUUGGGUGUUUUUUUUUGUUUGUUUUGUUUUGUUUUGUGUUGUUUUGUAUUUUUAAUGAGAACUCCUCUUCUCUGCUGCCUGUCUGUCCAUUGUGCCCCUGCUCCUGCUUUGGGCUUUCUAUAGAGCACAACCCACUGAUCCUUAGGGUUAUCAAAUGAGUGGGUAAGAUGAGGGCCAUAGGAAUAUUGUGUGCAUGGUGGCUAAAUUACACUCAUUAACCCACAGAAGUCCUAUCCUAUCUAUCUGUCCUGUCCUUCUCACUCUGGGCAGAGCAGGGCUUUCUGGAGAAAGCGGGGAAUACUUUGAAGCAAGCAGAGAUCUGGUUUAUCUUCAUUUAUCUUCACUGUCAUUGUUGAUGGGAAUGAAAAAAACAAGGGCUUAAAUGUCCAAGGAUCAAAUGGGAGCAGAUAGAUGGUGAGGAGACAUGAUCAACCACACAGUAAUAAAUGGAAAACUUACCCCACUGAAUUCAAAGGGAAGAGUGAGGGCUGUGGGAUUUCAGCAGCUUACAGGUGGGUAAUUUUCAUAUAAUUUCUGCUCAUUCUCAGAGGCAUUUAUCUAAAAAUCUGUUAGGGCCACUUCUAUUUGUUUUCUCUCUGAGGAAUAAUAUUGUCAUGCUGAGGAGCAAGAGAACAGGACACCCUAGACCACCUCAAAUGGUGGUGGGGAGCAAAGGGCGGGGGCUGUCUCUCCACCAUUUUUUUCUCCUCCAACCCGUUUAAGUGGGCUGCUGAUGAGCCAGGCAGUCAAAAGAGAAUUCCUUGGGUUUAUGUAAAAAAACAGCUCCUUCUGCUAUAUCCCUCCCUCUGCCUCUCCCCCUCUUCUGUGCAUCUGAAGCUAUUCACAAGCCCUUUCCACCCCACUUAAUCUCCCCUCCUCCCCUUCUCAUGGUAAAAUCAACCCUCCACACUAGGCUUCAGCUGUUUUUUGGAGCUUGUCUGUUCACAUCACUGAGCAAGGGAUGAAGUAAUGAAAAUUACAAGCUAUGGAAAUUUGAUCUCUCUAUUCUGUAAUUACUGUUCUCUGAAAUCUGAGAAUAUAUAUUUACUUUAAUAUUCUUGCAGAGGAGGGGAAGUUUCCCCAAGGCAUAAAGCAAAGAGAGAGCUAGGAAGAAGGAACAGCAUGAACCAUUUGUAUUUGAUUAAAUGUUAUAUACAGUAGUGAGUGGAUCUUGUCUUUAAGGCUGACACAGAAUCACAGCAUUCAACUCAUCUUGGUAUUUAGAAGCAGUCAGUGUUUCCUCUUUGCUAUGGAUAUUUGUGUAUGGUAAUUUGAAGAUGAGGAGUCCAGUCUUCUCCAGCUUCCUCUACACAUAAUUGACAGUAUUUGCCAUCUCAUGAUAAGAUACAGGCAUUUUGCUUAAAAGGAUCGAUCCUGUAGUCUUGUGAAUCAUAACUGCCUUUCAGAAAAUAAAAUGAAAAAAUCUCACUUUGUCAGUCUCAAAGUUAUCAUAAAGGCUGGAAAAUAUGAACAAAAUAAACCUUCAUGGAUCCAAAUCUGAAAUAAAUUUAAAAAAAUCACUAGAAUGUGUUAUAAAUUUGCCUAGAGUUUUUCAAAAAUGUGACUAUUUUGGGAAAGGAAGUUGGUGUGGACCAUGCCAGUACUCCUACUGCGGUUAUGGUAUUUUCUAAGAAUCUCCAAACAUGACUGAUUUGGUACAUCCUUUAAAAAAACAAAGUCAGCCUCUGCCCUGAAGAGCUUAGACUCUAUCAUCUAUAGGUUAGCUUCAUUAUUCAGAUGGAACCAUGGAUUAAACCUAAUAGUCAAUUUCAUCCAUGACCAGGAAUAAGGGACUAAAGAAUCUCCGGCCUUCUGAAGUCUCAGUCUUCCAUGUUUUAUUUUGCUGUCCCUUCAAAACCUGUAAAGGGAAAUGGCCCGUUGCAUUUUCAGAAAUAUUCAGUUUUCUUUUCUCAGAACAUUCUUCCAUGUCUCCAUGCUGUCUAUUUUCUGCCUGGCUCUAUUGUCUCUUGGAUUCCUUCAUUGGAGAAAAAAUUAGCUCACAAAAUUGCAUCCAAAAAAAUUGCUAAAAACUGUUGUCUGUAAAUUAUUUCAUACCCAUCUGAAUGCCAAGAUUUUUUUCCUGAUCUGAUCUAGUCCAAAAGUCAUUGCAUUCAUCCACUAUAUAUAAUAAAUAUAAUUAUUGCUGAAAUAUCAGUUGAGUAACAACAAAAGUUUGGCAGCUGAGUAAGCCUCAGAAAGUCAGCCAAAUGAGACUCUCAAGGUUUUCUCUACUUCUUUUUUUUUUUUUUUUUUUUUUUCCUCCAGGAUAAGCAUGCUACAAAGUCAUUUCUUGCAGAAUUUCAGAACCAUACUUUUUAAGCCCUAUUGUUCCUGAUAACUUGAUUUCCUAGGCGAAUGGAAAUCAUAAUAGGGAACACUUAAGAGCACGAAGAUGUUUACUGAGUACAAGUUUAUGUUAAUCAGCCGAUAAAGGAUGAUACAUUUCAGGGACAAGUGCAUCAUUCAACUGUUCUGCACUUCUAUGAGGCACUUUCUGCUCACCUUACCAUGAGGGGUAGGGGCCUGAACAUGUUCUGUCUGUUCUGUGUCACUCAUUUUCAUAAGUGCUGAGAAGAUGUUCUUCAUACAGUGUUACUCUCAUGUUUCCUCACAGAUUAUUAAUUAUAUCAAUGAAGAAUUUGCAACCCUUCCUUGCUUUCUCUCACUGUUCUCAUGACAUUGAUGCACCUAGCCAAGUAAUUCAUACAUGGACUUUAGUUCAUGUUUCAUUUGUUGCCUAAAACAAAUGUACCUGUCAGCAGGAGGCCAUCCCUAGAGGAUACAGCUUUCACUAGAGAAUUUGCUUUUAUAACCUUCUGUUGCUAUUGAGAAGAAAGAAAUUCAAAGUUUUCUAAUAAAAGUUUUACAGACCAAAAGUUAAGGCAAUCUAAGCAAUCUGGGAAGCAUUCUACUUAAUACAGGUUUGGCCCUUCAAACUGCUGCUGGAAAUUUGGCCGAUUUAACUACUAAACUCAAAAUCUAAAAAGUAAACUUUUUAAGAUUUUAAUUGACUAGACAACAAAGCAGUAAAAAAAAUUAGAAUUUUCAAUAUUCUGGUUUUUCUAUAUUUGAACGUGAUUUGGAAUUUGUCUUGAGAUUUUUUCAUACUUUGUGCUUAAAUACAAUUCUUAUGCCUAAUGCUACCCUACUCCAUGCCUAGAACAGGAGGCAUACUCUUUUAACUUCAAUAUGCUUCUAUCAGUCUGUGGAAGCAUCUUUCUAGUUUGAGUUACUAAAUACUGUUGUUUACUUUUGCAUGAAGGCUAGAUAGUACAUGUAUAAACUCUCUGUCUUCCAUGCAGACAAAACAGACACAUCCAGAGACAUGUUCUUGUCAUCAGCUGAGAAAUACUGCAGGAAGUCUAGAUGACUAACAUCUGAGAUGUUUAACUUGCAGAUGCCUUAAAUCAGAUAAAGUGAGACAAGUCAUAAGAGUUUCUUGGAUAUCUCUGGUUUAUACCUGAAUUCAAGCUAUGUUAUACCCACCUCCACACAUCCUGAUUUUUAACAGGAAAAAUAACUCCUCCUUUUAGGAGUAAUGCAAGACACUGUUUAUAUGCAUCUAGUAUGGUUCUCAACUGCGGACUGAUGAAAUUAUAACCAUCUUUUCCCUAGAGCUUUCAUCUGCUUCUGAAAUUCUGCAGAUGUGCACAAUAACAGCCAGCCAAUGAAAUUCAGAUUACCCCAAAAUCUCCAGUAAUUUUGUCUUCACUGGCUAAUCCACAUUUGGAAUAUCUAAAAUAAUACGGUGAAGAACAAGUUGGUUAUAAAGGUCUUACUACGCCCUUCUGCCACAACGCACAUCUAAGAUAAACUCAGGAUAUACAGGAAUAACAGCCUUAGGUUACUUUUCCACUGCUGUGCUCCAGUCUUGUUUCUGACAGAAGUUAGAUGACAAUGCAACUCAAAGCUAGUGCCAAUGGAAGUUCCCUCCUUGCUUUAGGGAACUGGAUAUGCUUCAUUUGCAGCUGCUCUACUCCAUCAGAACAGUGCAGAACAAUCAGGGUCUGUAUCUGAUGGAUGGAUUUCUCUGCAAGGAACGUCACAGAUAAUAGAAUGGGGUUUUUUUGCACAUAGAUUCAAUACUUCUUCUGACCUUAUUUACACUAGUCCAACACCUGAUAGAGCUUCUACCUUCAGUGAAGCUAUGACUGAUUUCAAUCAAUGCUUGCGGUGUCAUAAAGAAACUCACAGUCAUUGAAAUCAGGUAUAAAAAAACACCAAAUAAGUCACUUUUCUUAAUAACUGUGACUGCUCUUUACUGUACAUUCCAGUAUAUAGGCAGAGAGCCUCUCCUCCAAAAAGAUCUAGUGUAUGUUAAAAGCUCAAAAGUUGUUCCAAUCAAUUGGAUACCAACUAAAACUACACUAAGUAGGGCCUUGAUACAAUAAUCUAUGACAACUUGGAAAGGAGUUGUUUGAUUUUACUGGGACUUCAAUUGGUGAACAAAAAUUUCCUUAAGUUAUCUACUGUUAUAGCAUCUUACAGCUACUUUAGAGACACCUUAGAGACACAGACAGCUUCUGGUUCAGUGAUCUAAAAAAAUAUGACCGAACCAUGACUUAAGAAGAAUGUUCUUUAGCAAUAGAGCCAAAAGAGAGAAAAACAAAAAAAGAAAAAGAAACAAACAAAAAAAAAACCAAAACAAAACAAAACAAAAACACCCAACAUAUUCAGUGGACUAUCUUCUGUUGCACUUGUUACUUUUAUUGAGCUUACACAUGUUUUGGUUGAAUACUUCAAUGCUCCUCUUUUGUAGUGAAUAUUCUACAUUUGGUCAUCCAUUUUCAUGAUGUCUAAUAUUUUAAAUCUAGUUGUAUAAUCAAAUCUAGUUGAGAAGUCUUCUACUAUUUUAAAGGGAAAGUGAGGAAUAUCUAAAUGGUGAUUCCUUUCACCUGCCUUAUCCAUGAUGAGCGGGAUUGCCUUCUGGAAGUGAAUUUCCCUAGGAGAAGUACUGCCUGCUUUUAGAUCUUCAUUUGCUUUUAUCUAUUUAUAAUUCUUCAAUCUAUUAACUUAUAACAUCAGCUGCAUCUCUGGACUGAGUCAUCGCCCUAUUAUUGCCUUCAAGUAUGUAUCAGGGUGAUCAUCUAAACCAUCCAGCCUCCUUCUAGCCUACUACGCUGUUUCUCCAAUGCAAUCAAUGCAGUCCAUACAAUACUUUUAACAUAUCUCAGAAAACAAAAUUCCAUAACUUUUCCCGAGUCAUAUAAUAUAUUCAUUAUAUUAUUGUAGACCCAUUUUCUUAUCUAGCAGCUCUAUGUUUAUAACAAUAGAGCUGGUCUUCAUCAUCAGAGUACAUUUUGCAAGCUAGCUUACACAUUGUGUUGAUGAGGACUUUGGUACAGACUGAAUCACAAUGCCUUGAAUAAUAAUCCACAUCUGCUUGAAAUGUAGACAACUCCAUUUAGGUGCUGAGGUCAAAAGAGUCAAAGUAGUGGACCUAUGUUUUGUUACAGACCAAGAUGAACAAGAGAAAGGCUGGACAGGGACGUCUGGGUUUGUCUUUCUUCCCUUCUCUUUCUCUAGCAAAUACCAGGACUGUUGUUUGUAGCUGGUGGUGCUUUCUCACAGUUGCAAGACACAUGGGCUUGUUGAAGCAAUAAUGUGCAGUUCAGGAAAGUACCUGUAUUUACUGAUCAGUGGGCAUCAGAGUAAUGAGGAGAAGCUGAGAUAGUUAUAUGCAAGAGGAAAACUCACCCAUUGCUUGCGCUGACAUGACACAGGCAUUGAGGAAUAAUACUCUGCCUAUAGAAAUGGGGGGACUUUUAAAAAUAAAUAUGUAAACUUUGGUCCAUAUGUUACACCAUAAUCAUUUCCACAGCAGUUAUUUUUUAUUCCGAGUUGUGCAGGAUAUAAAAGGCAUGGAAGACCUAAUUAAAAGGAUAUUUGCAUGAUAAAUGGUUAGAAAUAUCACAAAUGUUUCCUACAGAUCAGCUAGUUCACAUCUGUGUGACUAUGAUGACAAAUACUCAUUCUCUUUACAUACUACGAGGAGGGCAACAGUAUCCUCAGAUGGAAAUCCAGCCACAGAUCGUUUUUCUUAAGUUUCCCCACAGCUUGUUUCCCUAAGUUUUUGGCUUUGUCAAAAAGGAAUAGAACUUUCUGAGCCAUUUAGUUGUUCUACUAAGAAAAAGCAAAUGUUUUUUUUAAUAAAAGAUCCUGCAGCACAGCUAGCAUCCAAAUAUCUAGCACCUCAUAGCUUUCUGGUACAUACAUACUAGGUAAUACGUCCCAUUUCAGUGGGAAAUGUGAUAAAAGCUGCUGGGAAGGAUAUUUUAGCAAAGUAGUUAGCUGCAGAACAAGUGAGUCGCUAGAUAUAAAGAACAUGAUGCAAGAUUCAUGACUGAGCUCCUCUCAUCUGUGAAUAAAUAAAUAAAUAAAUCCAGAGGUAAUGACAGCCAAUUGCUACAAACUUCACUGAUCUUGAAUCACCUUAGAUUUACUUCCAUACAGAUCCAGAGUACCCUGCAGGCUUCACAAAACUAGGAGGAUCUUGGCGUAAGCUGACUCAUGACUUCACAGUUCACCUCUUGGAGGACACUAUUAUUAAGUGCAGGGGUAUAUGUCACAACUAUUUCAGAAGAAAGGUUGAAGCAGGAAGGGCAAUAACCUGAUGACAGAGGGGCAUGCUGAAUCAUGGUGAACCAAGCAGAACUGUGUAAGCACUCUUCUAAUAUGUUUCAAAUUCAGGCUAGAAGUAGAAAUGCAGUAACCACGGUAAAAGAGCAUCUGGACAACUUGUACCCAUACAGCUAUGCAUACAUUUAAUUCAGAGAGGCUGUUAUCCUUGUUUUAUUGUUGCUAUUGUACUACAGUAGUGCCUACAUAUUUCCUCUGAGAUUUAUGCACAACUGUGCUAGAUGCUAUAUAAAUAGAAUAAAGUAGUCUCUGCUGAAGUCAACAGAAAGAUGCUUCAAGAGAGUUUAGAUUAGGCCACAGAUGUCCUGAAAUCUGCCAACCAGUAGCUAUUCAUAACUUCUUUCUUUGUCUCUAAAUGUAAAUUCAUAUGGGGGAAACUAACAAACAAAAAUACCAGUAUGAGGUUUAGCAUGAUGCAAAAGAUCUGAUAGAAAAGCUGGUGGAAAAAGGAGGACAAAGGCAGGUGUAUCCUGCAAAAAGUGACAUUAGGCCAGAUGUUGAUCUUUAGUUUAAAGUAUUAAACAGCCUGUGGAGCAUCCAUUUAGCCAGCAAGGUCACUCCAUCUCUGAACAUGUGUCAGCUCAGACUUGGGAGUAGUGCUUUGUUAAAUCUCCACGUUCUCUUGUACUAAUAGUGUAAAUAUUCUCCUCCCUCAAAACAGCCCUCCAUGUUUGUCUUUAUCAUCUUCAUAUAAAUGUCAAACACUAUUUGCUUACAUUUGCAUAGAGCCUCAGUUCUUGUCACUAUGAUUAAAGACCUGGUAUCACAGCUGCACAGUACAACCUGAGGGGGAAGAAAGAAGAGUCAUUUUUUUCCUCUCAGGCAGAAAAUGUGGAAUUGCUGGCACGCUGUAUAGGUGCACUUAUUCUAGUGAAAGAAGGCAAACAGCAUUCAUCAGAAUGAAAAGCAGAAACAAGGCAAGUUAAAUGAUAAACUAUACUUGAUACCCAGGGCUAGAAAUCUGAACAUCCUUUUCUUUUCUCUGCCACAAACUGAUUUUGUAAUUAGGCAAGUCACUUCAUCCUCCUGCCCAGUGUUUCCCUUUCCACAAUUAAUUUUAAUCUGCUUAGAUCCUGAUGUCUUCCAAGAAAGGUUUGCCUCCUGUUCUAUUUUUAUACUGUACCUAGUACAAAGUGACAGCAGUCAUUGUUUAAGCUUCUAUUUGCUGCAAUAAUAAAUGAUCUAGACAGUUAUUUAGAAAGGGAAGUUACAAGGCUUAUGGGAAUAGAUCACUAAUUAGGAAGGAUGUGAAUACAUUGAGUAAAGAAUAGAAUAGAUGUCUCAGGAUCCUUUCCAAUUUAUCCCUAAGGUCACUGAGUAAAAAAGGGAAGUUUAUCCUCAAGCCUAUUACAUUCUCUUUGCUUCUGGAAACACUCAGAAGGACAGUUCUUGGACGGCCCCAAAACAGAUGAUCUAGGCCUGCCACAGAAUCAUAGAAUCAUCAAGGCUGGAAAAGUCCACUAGGAUCAUCCAGUCCAACCAUCAACCCAUCCCCACCAUGCCCACUAAACCAUGUCCUUCAGUGCUACAUCUCCACAUUCCUUGAACACCUCCAGGGACGGUGACUCCACCACCUGCCCAGGCAGCCUGUUCCAAUACUUGCCAUCACUCAGUGUUUUGACAGUCUCCAUCCUACUGCUAAUUACUUGCAUUUAUAUAGUUUCAUAUCAGUAAACAUCAAGUUCUUUUUGUUCUCUACAUAAUACUUGAAUACCCUUGUUCAUGAGACUCUGGACAAUUCCAUACCCACAGCCACAGUAAGGCAGCAAGGCCAUUCUGGAAAUGGAGCACCAAGUGAGGGGUUACAAUAUCUUGAUGAGUUAGGGUGGUAUGGUUAGGUUGAGGUUGGACUUGAUCUUUAAGGUCUUUUCCAACCUGAGCAAUUCUAUGAUUCUAUGGUUAAUGACAAGCUAUGCUGUAGCCCUUAGGGAACAAGGCCACACGUUGCCAAUUCUAUCCCUAAAUAAAUUCUUCCUUAACCCACAACAUGCAGGUUCAAAAUCUUAACACCACUUCUCUUCUCUAGCAGAACUGGCAGUCAGUUCAUAUCAAAUUAUUUUUAGGCCCAUGAUUUCAAACUUCGAUGUUAAAAACUCCAGUUAAUGAAAAUAUUGAUCAGGUGCAUAAUUUCAAGCAGAAGGGGUUAAAAAUAUUUUUUUCUAUUAAUUUAUUUUAAUUUUAUUAGAGUCAGUGAUGUCACAUGAUGCUGACCUUCACCCUGUAGCUUAUAUAUAAGCUAUAUUUAGAAAAAGUUGUAUAUAUAAAACUCCUAUAUAACUUAGGAAAAUUAUGGAAUCGUAGAAUGACAGAGUGGAUUAGGAUGGAGAGUAUCUUAAAGAUCAUCUAGUUUUAACUCCCUCCCAUGGGCUGUUGUCACCCAUGAGAUAAGGGUGCCCAGGGCCCCAUCCAACAUAGCCUUCAGUUCUUCCAGAGAUGGGGCAUUCACAUAUUCUAUAGGCAGCCUGUGGCAGUGCCUCACCUACCUUGAGUAAGGAAUUUCUUCCUAACAUCUAACCUAAAUCUCCCCUCUUUAAAUUUAAAACCAUUUCCUCUUGUCCUGUCAAAAUAGUCUUCAAUAAGCUACGAAUCACUGUCUUGCCAAGCCACUGAAAGUCUGCAUUAUGUUGACUAACAACAGCAGAAAAAAGGAGUACCCAUUUUCAUUUCAUUCCAUAUUCCCUUUGCGUAUAUAUUAUUUUGACAUCAUCGUUUCUUCAAGGGCCUCUUUCUGCUUCUUUGAAGCCUGUAGGAAGAUCCUGGAUAACAUCAUUUUAGAGUGUCUCUCAGUUCCUCUGCGUUGUUCAUGUUCCAUGCUUCUGACAAUUUAUACCUUUGCCUCUCCCUGCCUUUACCUUGUGCCAUGUCUCUCUCACUACUGCUAGAUGUAGACUUCCAACUAUUUUCUGUUAUACUUUCUGCUCUCUCCCAUACUGUUGCUUUCCACUGGCUUGGCUUUCAUCUACCAAGCCAGAGAAGGAAGGCAACAUGCUAGCAAGCCAAGGCUGCUUUCUGUAUGUUAGCUAUCUCUGGGCAUGUACUUGCAGCAUCCUCAAAAUGCCUUUGUCUUCUGUUUUAUCUGUGGGACUUUAAAGGAAUGGGAUUCAGCCAUGAUGCCCUUUGAAAGGCAGUGAGAUACAAUAGCUUUUUUGCUUUUAACUUCCUUGGGAAGCUCAAGUGACUACAGGGAGAUCUCUGUGCAAAUGCUCUGACCUUCACACUGCUAUGUGUAUGUGUUAGCAUCAUCUCUCUCUCCCCUUAAGUCCCCUGAUUUGUAUAAUUUUAUUCAGGUUUCUUUAUUAGCUCUUUAUAUCUUACACAUCUACCUCAUAGCCACCCAGUUCUAGCUGCCCUCUGGUCAUUGCUCAAGAUUUGUGCAUUGGUAAAGGUUCCUGAACUGUUCUCUUGCACUCAAGAGGCCAAGUGCAUCUGUUAGCAAAUGCUGUGCAAGGUGUGUGUUUCUGGGGAACUGCUCUACAGAAAAUACAAGUUCUCCAUAUCAAGAUCUCUGUUCUUGCCAGAAUGACUGAACACAAAGCUUACUGUGGCUGUGAUGGGACUGUGGCCUCUGCCCACCAAUCAUCCCAUGAUAACCAAUGAACCUCCACAAUAACAUGGGAUCUGACUCUAUCCACCUAAAAUUUAGCCCUCUAGUUUCAGCUGAUCCAUUAGGUUCUUCUGUCAGACUAGAAUUAAAAAAGCUUUCAGUGGAUGAUUCAUCCUGUCUAUCUUUGACACAAAAACUCAAUGUUUAAUUAAAUAUUUCACGAUGUCUGUAUUUUUGAGGCCAAGUAGCAUAUAAGAGGCCAUGUGCUGACUCUCACAAGCUCCAGAAAUCCAUAGUUGCAUCUAGCCCAUACCUAGAAUGAGUGUGGAGAGUCAAGUCCCAGUGCCUGGGUACAUCUUCAUCGACUUGUGUUGUUGCAGCCUUGGGGUCCAGAAGGGCUGUGCUGGAGUUGUGCAGCCUGGCCUCUGCUUGAAGACUAACCUUCAUCAGGGAAGAGGUGCUACUCACUGGCAUAGUUGUUCCCAGGACAAGAGAUUCCUGUAGCCUUCAGGCUAGAGGUUAUUUUGGAGCUGAUAUAUUAUUCAUGCUUCCUGUUGAAGCUGGCAUACUGCAUGGAAGAGAAUUCAAAACUGUUGGGUGAGGUAAAAGAAGCAGAAAUAAGCCUGGCUAUAUAGCUCUGUGAGAUCAUUCACUUGGCAGAGGAGUCCUGAGUUCCAGAGGAGUCCUGAGUUCCAGUCUUCUCCAUUAGGGAUUAUUCAUGCUUUUUUUUUUUUUGGUCAGUGGAGUAUUCAGUGUAAAAUGCAUAGUCAAACCCAUGGAGCAAGCUCUGUAGUCCAAAAGUCAUCACCUAGGCACACACAGUACUCACUGUGCCAAGCAUUGCAGUGCCUAAGCCCCCUCUAGGGUUUAUAUUAUAUAAAGAGCUCUUUCAUUAGUAGAUAAACAGAGCCUGACAGUCACAAAAGAAGAUACAACAGAAGGAACCACCAUGGGACAUAUAAUAGAAGAGCAUUUGGACCCAGGAGCAUCUUCCCAUGCCCACUUUCAUAGCACCCAGACUUUAUGUGCCUCUUGCUGCUACAGGUAAAGGCACAGUCCCUCUCUUCUGAAGGAUUUGUCUCUGACCAGUCAGCAGGAGAUGGCCUCAGCACAACUAACCCAACUGCUGGAACUGUCAAAAAUCUAUUCCAAUAAAGCUGUUGUGUCCUAUUAGAAAAGAAUUUUUGGCUUCUUCUCAAGGUUUGUUAAUACUAAUUAUUUGCUAAUUGUCCAUCUCUUCGACGGAAUGCUGGACUCUGCCAAGAGGCAGUGCUCUAGGCACUGCUUUCUACUUAAUACGAAAACUCAAGGCCAAAUCUACUUCUGAUGUAUUCCCUGUAGAAGUAUAUUGGCUUUAAUGAGAUUGUGUUGCUUAUGAUUCAGGAAGGAUUUUUGCUUUGAAAUCCUGAUCGUAUUGAUUCAUUAGUUGAUAACUAUAAAGGAGCAUCAUGCUAUUCUAGGCAAUGACAAUUACUCAGUCAAGUAAAUGAAGUUUGUCUUUGGAAAUAUAUUCCUGCUAAAGAAUAACAGAUUGGUAUACCAUGCUCUUUGAACAGCACCUCUGGGCAUGCAAACCACCAUGGUUACCCACAGCAGCAGAGCUGUAGGAAAACAGGGCUUAGCAUGGGCUCUAGCAUCCAGCUCAGGAGCGAGGAGAGAUGGCUGGUCAUGAGUUAGCAAUGGGAUUCACCAGCUCAAGAUUUCCUACACUGUACUAACACACUCUCUACUAAUUGGCAAAAUACUGAAUUACCUUUCUUCACUGUGCUGUACCAGUGCCUUAGCACCUCCACUCCCUGGUUACUUUUGUUUACCAUACAGUGUUCCUUCUCUAAAAUGCAGUUCCUUCCCCAGAUUUUCCUUUGAAACCAAAGGCAGAAAUUACAAGUGCCCCUCCAUAUAGCUCCACUUUUCUACUCCCUUCCUGAACUGCUGAAUACUGAUAACUUCCCUUCUCACAUCUUAAUUUAGGUGAGAAGCUCUUUGCUGGAGACAGUGACCUUUACUUCUCUGAAAAAGCUAUUCACAAUUAUGCUGCUGUCUAAAUAAUAUCUGUGGUUAUAUUGAAGGGAACUAGGCACCUCGUAAAGAAUUCCACUAAAUUCCAUUACUGCUGAAACAAAGAAGAGAGUGAAACUUAUUUAUGGGAGAGGUUUUCAGUUUGAGACACUGUCCCAUUUAUUCUCCUUCAUUCUCCUGCCCGCAUUAUGAGGAGAGAUAGGACACUCUGGAAAAAAAAAAAAAAAAAAAAAAAAAAAACAGAAAAGAAAAAGAGCAUAAAAAAAAGGAAGUUAUCUUUCUGAAAAUAUGUUAGCAUUAUCUUUAUUCUAAAUAUUCAAGAAUAUGCAUUUGAAAAUUGGAGCAUUUUGGCAAAUUAAAUUGUGCAUAAAUAGAUUUAUCAAGUUUCAGUAAAUUUCAUGCAUUUUACCAGAUAUAUAACGUUAACGCAAUACAAUUUGGCUAUGAGGGCAAAAAAAAUAUUUGUAACAAUACUCUGUGGAAGUCUGAAAUUAUAUUAAUGAAGACAAAUGAAACUCAAGAACAAAAAACAUCCUCCUAAGUUAAUGAAAUGCUGCUCGUGCACAUCUUUCACUGGACAUAAAAGAAAAAACCAUUAAAGACACCGGAAUACAUGACUUUAUUGUUACUUUGAAACUUGAUUCAUUAAAAGCAAGCACACUACGAAAAUGAGUGGUCUUUGAAGUUAUCAAGAAGACGUGAAAGAUAAAGACCCAUCUGCAGUUAUAGGAUUUAAUUUACUUCUCACUUACUACCACUUUUCAGUAGUUCAGUUUCAGCAUUUCCUUCACAAAAUCAAGCAUAGUUGUUGCCCAGAUCCAUUUCAAAUGCUUCAGGGAGAGAAUUUUUAGGACUGUCAGAUCAUUCUGGACAUUUCGAUGAAGGAUACUAGUAGUUAGCAAUAACAGGUUUUAUUUAUUAUUAAUAUUACUAUGCGUUUAAGGUAAGCGUAUCUGCUAUUCAGGACAAAAUAACUAAUUGCCAACCGAUCUGCUUAAUGACUAAUGACUAAUGACUGCGACCUCAAGAAGACUACAUAGACAAAUGCAUGGUUGCAACAGCUGCUUUCUACAUGAUUUUUAAUUGAGUUAUGCCUCCUCUUUGGAGAUGAACUCUAAUUUCUCAAGAUCAAAAUCUGUUCCAUGUCAUAAUGUAAUUAAUAUCUAUCUAAAGUUAUUAAUUAUCUGCAUAAAAAAAAUUCCUUUGCAGUCACUUACAGCCAUUCAUGCAAUUAUGGUGGCUUGGAGGAAACAGAUGAUUUGACAUGGAGUAGAUUUGCAGCCAGGACCCCAUUGCAAGCAGGACCUGAGUUCUUUGGAAGAGUCAUGAGCUGGGGGUGAUUGCCCUGUGAAGAGAGGUAUGUUCAGCUUGGGGAAAAUGUAUUCGGAGGAACUAACAGCAAAUUUCCAGUGCUUAUGGGAAGGUUACCGGUAAAACAGAAAUAGACUUUUUCAUACUGGUUCCUGGUGGAAACACAAAAGAAAACAGGGAUAAGGUAAAACAAUAGUUCAGACCAGUUCUAAAUAAAACUCGUUCACAAUGAGGACAGGCAAAAAGGGGAGCAGUCUGCUCAGCAAAGUUGUGAUGACACCUCCUGCAGGCUCUCAACAACAGUUUGGAUAAAGCUCUCAACAACAGUUUGGAUAAAGCUCUGAACAGCUGAGUCUGACAAAGCAUCUGACCAAGCUUUACGGGGUACAGUAUACCAGAUGGCCUCCAGAGGGCUCAUCCAACCUGAUUUUUCCUGUGAUCCUGUGGCCCUCUGCAUUGUGGCUCCUGGUAACUUCUAUCAGAGGAGGUUUGGUAUGUAGCCCAUUACACUGAUUGGUCCUUCCAUCUUAUUCCUCUCACGUUAUUCUCCCUGCUCUGCUUCUGCCUUCAUGGACAGAAGUAUAUGUGGCUGUGUGCUUUACAACUGAAUUUUCUAUCCAUUUCUGCACAGGGAAGACCUCUAUAACUUCCUUUAAGCAGGAGCUGCAUCUCCUCUGUGGUUUAACAGUGACCUUAAACCAAACCGCUUACUUGUUGUAGUAAUUCCAGCUCUGAAUCAACUUAUAGAAGUGCUACCAACACUUGAGCCUAAAGAACAGCAUUAUGCUAUCUCCUGCAAAAUGACCACCAUUUGAUUCUAAUACAUACAGACUGAUUACAACAAUUGGUACCAGACUUAGUUUUCUAUACUUUGCAAAGAACAAAGAACAAGUGGAUAGAGGGAAAAAAUUGCAUCUGAAGAUAUAGGCAAGCAUUAUGUUACCUUCUAGUGGAGUCCCUGUACUUACUUUCUUAAAUCGCAGUUAAAACCUUUCACUUGAACAGUUUCCUUAUAAAUGCACAUACUCCAAAGGUCAAGUCAGAGCCAUUGUGAAAUAGGCUUUAAGAGACGCAUAAAACUCCUAUCUGACACAGAGUCAGUGGCAAUUGCAAAAGCAAAGACUGGGAGGGUUAAAGGCUAAUUACCAGAAGAAAUCUGGCCUGCUGGCCUAAGGUAUUUUGGGUAGGAGCACAGUCAAAUGGCAGUUGUGGGAUUAAUUGGUUGAAAGACAUUGUCACCUUGACAUUCAUGAAAGUACUUGGGAAGAGCACUGUUUCCUGAUAUACUGCAGACAGUUCAUUUGAACCAUAGAGGUAAGAUAUCUCUUUUCCAAAGAUUUUGCCUUUGCUUUUUAAUUGGUGUCAAAUAUAAGAAUUAAAAUCUCCAAUGUGAGAAGACUUUGCACAUAUUUUUUACAGUUUGUAACACUCUCUUCCUGGUUGGUUCUCAUCAUAAUAAUGAAUUGUAAAUGUACAUCCCAAGGACAAAAUGUUCAAGCCCUUGGCUUCAUAAAAGGAAGAGAGCAAAAGUUGCAAGCUGCAAGCCCCUUUGGAACUCUCUGUGCUAUUGGGAACAUAAUGAGCAGUUCUUUGUGCUUCUUAUAAAUAACUUCAGCAUCUACUGAUCAGCUGUGUGACCUCAAGCCAGGCAAUCCGGAUCUCUACUUCACUUUGCCCAGAAAGUGUUGUCCAUGCAAUAGGUAUCUUUUUGUCUAGGAUGAGAGCUCUCUGUCUGCAGGGAAAUCAGGUGCAGUCCUAAGCAUAAUAAAUGCUGUUUGCUGGAAAAUUUCACUGCAGUCGUGUCACAUCAAUGCACAGAAUUGCUCUCUUGUUCUGCUCCAUCAUUUAGCCAGUACAGUUGUUCUGUCCCAUGACAUAAGAUCUGUUAUAAAAGCUUACUCUUUACCUCAUUUUUUCUUUUUCAGUAAAGAGUUCCCCAGCAAUCUGCAUUCAACCUUUGAAGUACUUUGGAAGCUGUGUAUAGAAGAUACCAGGGCAAUUUUGUGAACUGGAAAUGUAAAUUAGCAGAGCCGAACCUUCCUUAUUAAUGCUUCAAAAGACAUCAAAUCCCCUAACAAAGGACAGUCAGUACAGAGCAGGGCUCUCUCAUUGAUCGACUUGUCAUUUUUCUAUCUCAGCAUCACACAGGAGUGGGGAAUACAGGUGCUUUCGGGAGAAAUCCCCCAGCUCACAAAUCUGCCUUCUGUCCAGAAAGUAGGUCUCACUGGUGCAUAAUAAACGUGACAGCCUGGUAAAUAUUGAGGUGAGAGAGCACAGAUCCAUUCUGGUUCAGCACACUUGUGCAGCUACCAAAGACGGCACCAGGUUUCUAUGUGAGAUUACAACCCCAUAAUUCCAACAGAAUCACAUCAAACCCUCUCAAGGGGACAAAAAGUUUGCACAACUACAAGUUCAGUUGGACCAAGCUCAAUGGAGGGACUGGGUGACAUGACCCCCCCAAAGCUGGCUGGCAGUUCCCUGGCUCUGAAGCAAAUGAGAUGAUGCUGCAGACUGCUUUCCUAGCUACUUAAAGAUAAAAAGUACUUUAGAAUAGAGAAUAAUCCUCCAAAUCCUUAACUGAGUUACGAUUCUAGAGAAAGGAACAGAUCGUAUUUAUGAGAUGAAGAAUUACCUUGUCGUGUUCACAUCUUUUAAACCUCUGGUAUGAAAUAUUCACUCUUCUGAAGCCAAUCAAUGUUUCACUGCCAAAGGAAGUGGGUGCAGGCUUUCAGGCACAGAAUAUCAAUGGCAAGUUAUGUGGUUGUACAAGUGAGAGCCAAAGAUCCUUUACUUUCUCUUGAGUUCAAAAGAGAAUAUGCAUCUAGUAUUGGAUUUUAGUAAAAGUGAGCAUCUUGUAGAAGGUGAAUUUUACCUUAACUGAAGAAGGGAAGAAGCAGGAUUACAACUUUCAAAAUCUUCAGGAAGUGAAACGUGUUCAGUAUAUGCUGCUCUAAGGUUGUUAUUACUACUUCCUACAUUCAGGAAACCAUCAAGUUUACAAUAGGAGCAAAUUCUCGGAUUGUCAGUUUAAAUUUUAAGUUUGAGGUUGCUAUUCAAUUUCAGGGUACCACUAUCUCAAGCCAGAGAUCUAAGCAUCAGAGAGCAAAAUCAAAUGGAGUCAGAGUAGAUUUAGCAGAACACUACAUUAUGGACUAAGGAGUCAAACAUAUGCAAACCUUCCGUCCUUACUAAGAAACAGCCUCACACCAUCCACCUGGGGGACUGUCUUCAAGACCUAUCCUCUCCGCUGCCAGGGUGGGAGAAGCUGUGCCAAUGGUGCAAGAAGAACCAAACACUGGACCACAGGCUGGAUGUAUUCCUUUCGUCUUGAACAUGGUACCAAGCAGACAUGCUGUCAGCUAGCAGUGUUGGAAGUCUUUGUUAGAGAAAGAGAGGGCACUCUCUGUAUUGUACAUGUUUAGGAACAGUGGUGUUACACAUUAACUAUCAGAAUGAAAUUUGCUUACACUAUUGUGAAAAAGGGUCUGCCUACAGUGGUCUCCAAUUUUAGAUUUGAUUUUCAGUCCACAUUCCUGACUUCAGUCCUCAUCAGUCAGUUUUGCCCCAGACUCUUGCAUUAUGAAGACUAAUUUACAUAUCCAAAUAAAUAGCUCUCAAAGGAGAAAUUCAGGCUGACAUAAUGUAACUCAUCCUCAUCCUUUUAGAGCUAUUUUUGCAUAAAAAAAAGAUUAGCAAACAAAACCAAGGAGGUAAAGAAAGAAAUGUCAUGGAACCUCUGGGAUUUUUGAGAGACUACUCAACUAUCCUGUACAAUCAUGAAGAUGGGGUUGUGGGGAGGGAGAUUUCCCAGUUGACACGUUUCUCCACUUGUGAACAUGUUGAAAGAUCACUCAUAUGUUUUCAAUGAAGUCACUGACAGUCAAGAAUGCUGGAGGCAACAGCUGUUGGGGAUUGAUUUACCCCAAGGCUAUUUAAUCUCUCAGCCUCUCAUAAGGAUGCUUGCUAGGGGGAAGGUAAAGAAGCACAACUAAAAAUUGUAUUGCUUUCAGCAGCUGUUGUUAUUCCUGAAAGCCAAGAAAGGGUCAAAAAUAUGUGAUGAAAGUCUUGGAUUGUUAUCAGCUAUAGGGGUGGCCAAAGCUUACUGCUUCCUUUGGGAGUAAAGUUUCCUUUGUGGAAUGAAAUACAGUAAAAUUACUAACUCCCUUAGGCUUAGUUGCCUGGGAGUUACCAUGAAGUGUAUAUGUGCCUUGGAAUUUCCAGAAUUAUAAGUAUAUUAUGUCAGUAGGAAUGAUACAGGUUGUGAAAGGCAGCCGUUGUGUUCAGUAACAGGAGCUGAGACAAUCGGGUAGCAAGAAAAGAUAACAUAAAACAUUCAUUAAAAUGGUGGAAAAAAAAUGACUGAAAAGCAGAGUGCAGCUGCUGUUAUGUGUCAGUUACUAUUUCAGAAUGGUCUCCUUCUGUGAAACACUGGACUUUUAUGAAAUCAUAUUGUCCAACCAUGCAUCAGACCCCUGAAGUGUAAGGUAUUUGCCUACCUCGCUGAAAAUAAGAUACAUCCCAGCAGAGAUUCUUUUUGUAACCAUGCAUUUUUCACUCUUGGCUAGCAGAACUUUUCAGAGAGAAUUAGCAUGGAUUGCAUUUUCACUUGGGAAGGAAGCAAAAGUUGCAGUUCUGUUUCACCUAGGAUUUCAUGGCUGUGAAUAUGGGUGAUGCCUCGUGGCUUUAAGAGUGUGUAAUCAGCCACAGAACUUUUGUCUUUUCCCUAAAGCAAUCCAAGAUUUUUGUGACCAUGCCCCAUCCUGAACAUUAGCAGUGUACAGCCUUACAUCUCUCUCAUCCCUCCCAAAUUCAUGGAGUGGCUCACUCAGGAUGUGUCUACCAGGGCUUUCCUUUGGUUCAAUAAUACACUUCUGAAGCAAAUCUCUCAUUAUCCCCACUUACUGUGCUUUGUAUCCCAUCAUGGAUCUGUUUUGGGAAGCCAGAUUUGUUCCAGAUGAAAUGAAAGUGGAAAGUGCUCUCCAGGAGCAUACCUCAUGUAUUGCAUCACAAAGGGCUCCAUGAAAAACUCCAGGCAAUGAGAGAAUGGGCCUGAAAGUCACAGCUAUCCUGGAAAUGGCUAUGUUCAGAGGAGGAUGAGUAUUCUUCAGGGCAGUGCUGUCUCCUUACACUAGCUGAGUUCUCAAGAGCAACACACAAGUCUGCAAUGACCAAAAAAAAAUAAAAAUAAAAAAAUUGAACACAGCAAACUUUGCUGAAUGUGGACCUAAAAACUCUUUAAAUAUUCUUUAGAUGCUGAAAAAAAAAAAGGCAAAGCUAAAGAAAAGAUAAUGCUGAAAAAUAAGUAGCGUGUUUGUUCAUAAAAAGUAUCUUUACACAAUUAACGGAAUCACAGUAUCAAAGAAUUGUAAAGGCUGGAAAAGGGACCUCUGGUGACGAUCAAGUCCAGGUCUCAUCACAGCACCUUGGGAUUAUUGCUUAGUCCUGAGGAUGCCCAGAACUUGGUGCAUAGCUAAAGUUCAUCCAACAAAUUAAAAACCUUUGGCUCUGAGAAAAAUGGAAAAGAGAAAUUUUGGGCAAGUGCUUUGGGACUACAAGGAAAGAAUAAUCAAAUUACUGAAAAUCCCUGUCCCACAAGUACUUACAAAAACAGAAUAGUAAUUUUUCUUGUGACUUUUCAGCACUUCUCCCUCUGGGAUAAAGUGAACAUGGGAAAGAGGAAAAAUGUAGAAAUUAAGACAAAUUAAUUAUGAACUGUGUCUGACAGAAUUCAAUAACUGUUUUUCUGCUGACUAUACCAAAGUUUGGAUUGGGCAGUUUUGGUCUUCAGAACAUUCGAUAUCUACACAGUAGUCUGACUAGACAGAUUCCCAAUUCCUGUUUUUAUACACCUGCCAAGCUGACAGGCAUUCUAUGAUGGAAUAUGCAAGUCUUGUAACACAAUGCACUUACCCAACAAAAAGUGUCAUGAAAAGAUUAUUUGAUUUUCUAACAGCAGUCUUAAACCACAAAAUAAACCAAACCAAAACAAAGCUCAAAGCUUAUGAAUUAUUCCUUAAAAAUCAAAACAUAUUAAAAAAACACAACCACCUUCCUCCCACCAAGAGACAAGGUAACGGUGGAAAAGCAGAAUAAUGAAAGCAUUUGAUACUUACACGUCUUUCACCCUAUGGCACUCUAACACUGUAUGCUUGUACUCACCAAGCUGAAGUGUAACCACACCUGGGCCAUGGAUACUCCUUCUCCUCGGAGGAACACCUGUACAAUUAUCUGUGUUCUUCUUGGUAGUAGCAUCAGGUACAAAAGGGGCCUUGCAAGGACCUGACUGAAGUUCCCACUAAUCUCACCAGCUGUACACCCCAGCUUUUUCAUAGGGACAAUCCCCAAUCACUGAAGGAAAAGGGAUUUGUUCAACUCAAGCUUCAAUGCUUAUAGAAGCAUUCAACAAAAAUCCAUCCAUGCAGGUCUUUAAGAUCUUCUUUCUCCUGUAAAUUUGAUUCUCUUUCAAUAUUUUGACUUCCAGGCAUCUUGAGAGGCCCUAGUGCAGGCUCCCUUCCCAUCUUGUAAAAAAAAGGGAAGAGAUUAUGCUAUUUUCAGCCACCAGAUAAAUAAACUUCUACAGUUUACUUGAAGUGUAUUAUUUUUUAAACCCAAAAUUGUCAUUUCUGCUUAUUUAGGAAAGUGUCCUUAGUUCUUCUGCAGAUCUCCUAGGCUAUGACACUGUGUAUUCAAGGACAAACCUUGCUACAGGAAACCUUUUAAAUCAACAAAUAAAGUGCCAGUGCAGGCACUGAAGCUAUGGAGAUGCUGUCAUAGAAUCAGUUGUAGAAUCGUUUGACUUGGAAGAGACCCUUAAAGGCCAUCUAGUCCAACUCCCCUGCAAUGAACAGGGACACCUACAGCUAGAGGAGGUGCUCAGAGCCCCAUCCAGCCUGACCUUGAAUGUCUCCAGGGAUGGGACAUCUACCACAUCUCUGGGCAACCUGUUCCAGUGCUUCAACAUCCUUACUGUAACAUAUUUCUUCCUUAUAUCCAAAUCCAAAUCUCCCCUCUUUUAGUCUGAAACCAUUUCCCCUUGUCCUAUCACAACAGACCUUCUUAUAGAGUUUGUCCCCUUCUUUCUUAUAACCUCUCCUGAGGUCACAAAACCUCUGAACCUUUCUUCAUAAAAAGUGGUUCAUAAAAGCACUGAAACCUUUCUUCAUCUCACCUAGCCAAGCUCCAAGACACUUCUCCUUUUUUUUUUUUAAAUGUUAGAGUUUCUUUUUGAGUAAAUCAGAUUCUGUUACUGUCUUACUACACAGAUGCAUGGACAUCAAUACAGGCAGUAGAGAGGAAGUCAGUGGAAGCAUUUUUAAAAAAGAAAAUAUAUAUUAAAAAAAAAAACAAAAAAAUGUUGACUUACAUUGAUUUAAAGUGAUUUAAAGAUUUAAAGGCUCAGUGUAAAGCUCACAUAGAAUAGCAAAGUCCCAAUGACAGCAAGUAGCAGUGUGUAGGCUUAGCAAAUGACCCAUCAUAUCGUGAAAUAUUUCAGUUUGUUUUCUCUGAGUUCAUAGAGCUUUGUCAAGAUAUAGCUACAGCAGAUGCCAUUAUAAAUAUCUGAGUUCAAGAUGUUACAAAGAUAAAGAACAUACUUCUCAGACCUUUUUCUUUUCAUAGACAUAUAUUUUUUUAAAACCAUCGUUCUCCAGUAGGACUGUCAUAAUUAGUUCUAAAGCCUGUGGAAAAAUAUAACUCAAUUUCACACAAAGAGUCAGGAUCAAGGCGUAAUCUGUGAGAUCUCUGGUCAUUUUAAAGCUUUCUCAUAAUACAGCCUCUUUCACACUGUUGAUGGAAGUCUUGGGACAAGAAGACAGUUGCUUCUGUCUUGUUCUUGGGUGUGAAAAUCAGUAGGAGAAUGUGAAAGGCUUAGAACAUACCAUCCCAGAGAACUGAGUCUCAGCUUGCAAAGGAGACUCCAGUUAGGCAAUGACAAAUUCCUUCCUCUCAUUAGAGACACGUUCCUCAGCAUCAGGGGCCUUCCCUGGAAUGUGGCUUUCAGCUCCAAGGUCAUUCUAAUGAUGGAAAAAGAACCCAAGAGAUCAUGACGGUCUAAAGCAAAAGCUUGUGAAGCAGCUUUCGCAGACUCUCCAAGCCACGUGUGAAGGAAUGAGCAGCAGCGUGCCUGGGGACACUGAGAAGCUGCAAGCUGUGUUCCUGCAGAGCAUGGAGAGGUCAUCUCCCGGGGCAAGGCAUGGAGAGGGUGAUAAGAAACCACCCACAUCACCUGCUGCUUCAAAAUCAGUGUCUGUGCAGAAGGAUGUUCUUCACAAAGAAAUAACAAAUUUUUGUGUCCCUUUCCAUAAAUGGUAAGGAUGCAUUAGGUGAUGGCAGAAAGCGAGGAAGUAGAUGUAGUUCCCAAACUCUGGGGCAUAAACACAACAAAGUAUAAAAGAAGGAGGAAAGAUACAGAGAGGGUAAAAAUAAACAUUUUGAUUCAUCUCAUCUUGUGAAUCACAAAUGACAGGCACAUGGAAACUCAAAGAACCACACUAGACCAGACAAUGCAUAAUUCAGAGCCACCAGGUACAUCAGAAACAAAAAACAGAGGUACAGAUAUGAGACAGGAUUAGUCUUGAAGUAGGACAUUGUUUCUAUAGAAGGAAGAUAAAAAUAAUGAAGGGUUCAUAGGAAGAUUUGCUGAAGAUACUGUUGGAAACUUAACUAAGAGGGCUGCUCCUAAAGUAAUACCUCCUAUUUUAUUAUGUUGGCCCAUGAUGUCAGAAGUGUCAGAAGUUGGUGGUAUGGAAGUAGAUGUUGAACCUUCCCACCAAUACUCUGUUACAUGUUUUUGCCAUGUGACAGAUGGCAGCACUCUGUGUUGGGGGCACUCUGACAGAAUGGUAUCUGACAUAGAAGUACAUAUGAAGCAAAGACAUGGAAUUGAAUUCCUCCAUGCAGAAAAAACAGCACCCACUGACAUUCAUCAGUGCUUGCUGAAUGUUUAUGGAGACCAAGCAGUGGACAUGAGAACAGGGAUGUGGUGGGUGGAGCAUUUCAGCAGUGGCAACAGUGAUGAGAAUGGCAAGCCACAUACCAGACUGCCAUUCACAUUUUUACCAGUGCGGCACACAGGCUCUUGUUCAUCACUGGUGAAAAUGCACAACUAAUGGUGGUGACUAUGUUGAAAAAUAGUAAUUUGUUGCUGACAAUUUGCUCUGUCAAAUAGUAUUAAUGUGCUCUUUGCAUCUGUUGUAUUUUCCAAGGAAAUAAAUAGGAAGCAUUAUUUUGGAACGGCCUACAUAGUUCUGACCUCUAUGCCAUGG